UGUAAUAUUCUUUAUUACUUAGACAUACCAUGGCCAUACCACGUACAAGGGACAGGGGACAGCAUGAGGUCUCUUGGUCUUUUCCAUUAGGUACUUUCUAGACUAGUAUAAACUAUAAACUGUGAGUAUAAAUACAAUCAAAUAGGUAAUUAUCUGUGAUGGGGACAGCGUGACACUUAACAAGAUGGCGUCGUUAGUUCCGAUUUUGGCCACGCGCCAAAAGAUCCUUGUCGCACUCCAAUCACCAGGAAUCCGGACCAGCAGUGCGAUUGUGUAAAACUUGACGAUGAAAAUGGUAUUCAUUUGAUGGCUUAAACUAUACGAUUUCAGCUGUCAAACGGCAAAUUCGAAUUGUGUAUGUUGUUCAUAAAUGGUUAGCGAUUGGAUGGUUAUCAUGGUUGAUCAUAAUGGUUAUUUUAGACGAUGAGUGAAUGAUUUGAUACCAUUUGACAGCUAAUUCGAAUUGUCUAACUUUUUUGAGCCAUCGCUUAUGUCAAAUGAUUGCGAUGACUCGCGGGCCAUGAUUAUCGUUGAUCAUUGAGAUAGUUUAGUGGUUUAUGCUUGGUUUAUUGUAUUGGUGCCUCAACAACAGCCAACUACCCAGUUAAAUCUACUCACUUAACCUAGGAAGAAAUAGCUACUUGCCUAACUCAAAUAUAGGCUGUUUUAAACUCCUCUUUCCUCUAAACCAUCCGAGAGUUUUAUUUAAUUAAUUGCUGUUAGUAAAUUUCUGUUUAAUCAUAGUUUAAACCUUGUAAAUAUUUGAUGGCGAUGUUUUUUCAAUUAAAUCAUAUAAGAGUA